UACGGGGGGAGCGAACGUUGUUCGGAAUCACUGGGCGUAAAGGGCGUGUAGGCGGCUGAAUAAGUGGGAUGUUAAAUCCCCCGGCUCAACCGGGGACCUGCAUCUCAUACUGUUCAGCUCGAGCACAUCAGAGGAGACUGGAAUUCCCGGUGUAGCGGUGAAAUGCGUAGAUAUCGGGAGGAAUACCGAUGGCGAAGGCAGGUCUCUGGGCUGACACUGACGCUCAUGCACGAAAGCGUGGGGAGCAAACAGG
rnacentral:rRNA from 1 species